GGAGCGUUGCGGCGAGUCGAGUUGGACUCGUCCAAAAUGGCCGCACUGGCGGAGAACUCCAAAAGCCGCCAAAACCCCGAAUUUUCACGCCUAAUGAGAGGGGGAGCAAGGAAAAUACAUGGCGAAAACAGUGAUCGGAUUGAUCGUAGUACACGGGUGAUGACGGAAUUACUGAAUUCUUCUCUGAAACUUGCGAGUAGUGCAGACACGCGUUAAUGGAGUAGCAGUAGCGUAGGUUAAAACUUUGCCGCAAGCCACAUCCACACGGACGGUACAGAAGGUCGUAGGUU
rnacentral:misc_RNA from 1 species